GAUGAACGCUGGCGGCGUGCUUAUCACAUGCAAGUCGAACGGUGAAGCAGGAGCUUGCUCAUGUGGAUCAGUGGCGAACGGGUGAGUAACACGUGAGCAACCUGCCCCUGACUCUGGGAUAAGCGCUGGACACGGCGUCUAACACUGGAUAUGUGAUGUGACCGCAGGGUCUGCAUCUGGAAAGAGUUUGGGUUGGGGAUGGGCUCGCGGCCUAUCAGCUUGUUGGGGAGGUAAUGGCUCACCAAGGCGUCGACGGGUAGCCGGCCUGGGAGGGUGACCGGCCACACUGGGACUGGGACACGGGCCAGGCUCCAACGGGAGGCAGCAGUGGGGAAUAUUGCACAAUGGGCGGAAGCCUGAUGCAGCAAUGCCGCGUGAGGGAUGACGGCCUUCGGGUUGUAAACCUCUUUUAGCAGGGAAGAAGCGAAAGUGACGGUACCUGCAGAAAAAGCACCGGCUAACUACGUGCCAGCCGCCGCCGUAA
rnacentral:rRNA from 1 species